AGAGUUUGAUCCUGGCUCAGAACGAACGCUGGCGGCAGGCUUAACACAUGCAAGUCGAACGCCCCGCAAGGGGAGUGGCAGACGGGUGAGUAACACGUGGGAACGUACCUUUCGGUUCGGAAUAACUCAGGGAAACUUGAGCUAAUACCGGAUACGUCCGCAAGGAGAAAGAUUUAUUGCCGAAAGAUCGGCCCGCGUAGGAUUAGCUAGUUGGUGAGGUAAUGGCUCACCAAGGCGACGAUCCUUAGCUGGUCUGAGAGGAUGAUCAGCCACACUGGGACUGAGACACGGCCCAGACUCCUACGGGAGGCAGCAGUGGGGAAUAUUGGACAAUGGGCGAAAGCCUGAUCCAGCCAUGCCGCGUGAAUGAUGAAGGCCUUAGGGUUGUAAAGUUCUUUCAACGGUGAAGAUAAUGACGGUAACCGAGAAGAGCCCGGCCUCGCG
rnacentral:rRNA from 1 species